rnacentral:sRNA from 1 species
AAUAAGACAAUAAUUUAUAAACAUAUCAUAAAUAAGAUCAACAUUAAUAAAAUAAAUGAUUUUUUUUACAGGACGGGUUGGCUGAACGAGUUUGGCAGGACGUUACUUAAUAACAAUUGUAAACUAUAAAAUAAAAAUAUUUUAUAGAUAGAUACAAUUUGCAAACUUUUAUAUAUACUAACUUUAAAAAAUAAAUUGUCCCCGUGGUGUACUGCGGGUUAAAAUCUAGUUUAAUAUAUAAAUAUACAAGAUUUAUAGGUAUUUUUGUCUGUAAACUAAAUGUGUUGUAUGAAUUUUAGUGUAAGCAAAUAAUAAAAAAUGCCUAUUUGUAAAUUGUGAAUAGUAAAUUUGUUAUGAAUAAAGAUGGAUGUCCAUUAUAAGGCCCAUCAUCUAAGCCCAUCAUCUAGAUGUUUGUAGGGUUUUACCCUUUCCUUGUACUCCUAUAUAAAGAAUCCUUUAUCUCAAUGGAAUAACACACUUAUUUCCUCUAUCUCUUUCUCUGUUUAUAACACGUUAUCAGCACGAGUCCUACCUAGCUGAGUAAACCCUAGCCGCCUAAGAAAAAAA